GGGGAAUCUUGCGCAAUGGGCGAAAGCCUGACGCAGCGACGCCGCGUGAGUGAUGAAGGCCUUCGGGUUGUAAAGCUCUGUGGAGGGGGACGAAUAAGGGUCGUCGAAUAGACGGCUCGAUGACGGUACCCCUUUAGCAAGCACCGGCUAACUCUGUGCCAGCAGCCGCGGUAAGACAGAGGGUGCAAACGUUGUUCGGAAUUACUGGGCGUAAAGCGCGUGUAGGCGGCUCGGCAAGUCGGAUGUGAAAGCCCUGGGCUUAACCUAGGAAGUGCAUUCGAAACUGCCAAGCUUGAGUUCUGGAGAGGAAGGCGGAAUUCUCGGUGUAGAGGUGAAAUUCGUAGAUAUCGAGAGGAACACCGGUGGCGAAGGCGGCCUUCUGGACAGCAACUGACGCUGAGACGCGAAAGCGUGGGGAGCAAAC
rnacentral:rRNA from 1 species